rnacentral:rRNA from 1 species
GACGAACGCUGGCGGCGUGCUUAACACAUGCAAGUCGAGCGGUAAGGCCCUUUCGGGGGUACACGAGCGGCGAACGGGUGAGUAACACGUGGGUGACCUGCCCUCAGCUCUGGGAUAGGCCUGGGAAACCGGGUCUAAUACUGGAUAUGACUCCAUGACGCAUGUUGUGGGGUGGAAAGCCUUGUGCGGCUGAGGAUGGGCCCGCGGCCUAUCAGCUUGUUGGUGGGGUGAUGGCCUACCAAGGCGACGACGGGUAGCCGGCCUGAGAGGGCGACCGGCCACACUGGGACUGAGACACGGCCCAGACUCCUACGGGAGGCAGCAGUGGGGAAUCUUGCGCAAUGGGCGAAAGCCUGACGCAGCGACGCCGCGUGAGGGAUGACGGCCUGGUGUAA